AUUGAACGCUGGCGUCAAGCCUAACAGAUGCAAGUCGAGCAGAGCGUAGGACGGGUGAGUAAUGCCUAGGACUCUGCCUGGAAGUGGGGGAUAACGUCAGGUAACGGGAGCUAAUACCGCAUACUAGCGGAUGCGGCUAGGUCGGAUUGGAUAGUUGGUGGGGUAAAGGCCUACCAGGGCGACGAUCCGUAACUGGUCUGAGAGGAUGAUCAGUCACACUGGAACUGAGAAACGGUCCAGACUCCUACGGGAGGCAGCAGUGGGGAAUAUUGGACAAUGGGCGAAAGCCUGAUCCACCCAUGCCGCGUGUGUGAAGAAGGUCUUCGGAUUGUAAAGCACUUUAAGUUGGGAGGCGUUACCAACAGAAUAAGCACCGGCUAACUUCGUGCCAGCAGCCGCGGUAAUUC
rnacentral:rRNA from 1 species